AGUGAACGCUGGCGGUAGGCCUAACACAUGCAAGUCGAACGGCAGCACAGUAAGAGCUUGCUCUUACGGGUGGCGAGUGGCGGACGGGUGAGGAAUACAUCGGAAUCUACUUUUUCGUGGGGGAUAACGUAGGGAAACUUACGCUAAUACCGCAUACGACCUACGGGUGAAAGCAGGGGAUCUUCGGACCUUGCGCGAUUGAAUGAGCCGAUGUCGGAUUAGCUAGUUGGCGGGGUAAAGGCCCACCAAGGCGACGAUCCGUAGCUGGUCUGAGAGGAUGAUCAGCCACACUGGAACUGAGACACGGUCCAGACUCCUACGGGAGGCAGCAGUGGGGAAUAUUGGACAAUGGGCGCAAGCCUGAUCCAGCCAUACCGCGUGAGUGAAGAAGGCCUUCGGGUUGUAAAGCCCUGUUGUUGGGAAAGAAAAGCAGCAGGUUAAUACCCCGAUGUUCUGACGGUACCCAAAGAAUAAGCACCGGCUAACUUCGUG
rnacentral:rRNA from 1 species